AGCGAACGCUGGCGGCAGGCCUAAAACAUGCAAGUCGAACGCCGUAGCAAUACGGAGUGGCAGACGGGUGAGUAACACGUGGGAACGUGCCCUUUGGUUCGGAACAACACAGGGAAACUUGUGCUAAUACCGGAUAAGCCCUUACGGGGAAAGAUUUAUCGCCAAAGGAUCGGCCCGCGUCUGAUUAGCUAGUUGGUGAGGUAACGGCUCACCAAGGCUACGAUCAGUAGCUGGUCUGAGAGGAUGAUCAGCCACACUGGGACUGAGACACGGCCCAGACUCCUACGGGAGGCAGCAGUUAGGAAUCUUGGACAAUGGGCGCAAGCCUGAUCCAGCCAUGCCGCGUGAGUGAUGAAGGCCUUAGGGUUGUAAAGCUCUUUCAGCGGGGAAGAUAAUGACGGUACCCGCAGAAGAACGCCCCGGCUAACUUCGUGCCA
rnacentral:rRNA from 1 species